rnacentral:rRNA from 1 species
CCUACGGGUUGCAGCAGUGGGGAAUAUUGCACAAUGGGCGCAAGCCUGAUGCAGCCAUGCCGCGUGUGUGAAGAAGGCCUUCGGGUUGUAAAGCACUUUCAGCGGGGGGAAGGCGGUGAGGUUAAUAACCUCACCGAUUGACGUUACCCGCAGAAGAAGCACCGGCUAACUCCGUGCCAGCAGCCGCGGUAAUACGGAGGGUGCAAGCGUUAAUCGGAAUUACUGGGCGUAAAGCGCACGCAGGCGGUCUGUCAAGUCGGAUGUGAAAUCCCCGGGCUCAACCUGGGAACUGCAUUCGAAACUGGCAGGCUAGAGUCUUGUAGAGGGGGGUAGAAUUCCAGGUGUAGCGGUGAAAUGCGUAGAGAUCUGGAGGAAUACCGGUGGCGAAGGCGGCCCCCUGGACAAAGACUGACGCUCAGGUGCGAAAGCGUGGGGAGCAAACAGGAUUAGAUACCCGUGUAGUC